CCUUCGGGUGGCAGCAGUGAGGAAUAUUGGUCAAUGGGCGGGAGCCUGAACCAGCCAAGUCGCGUGAGGGAAGACGGUCCUAUGGAUUGUAAACCUCUUUAGGCGGGGAGCAAUGCCGGGCACGCGUGCCCGGCGGGAGAGUACCCGCAGAAUAAGCAUCGGCUAACCCCGUGCCAGCAGCCGCGGUAGUACGGAGGAUGCGAGCGUUAUCCGGUUUUAUUGGGUUUAAGGGGGGCGUAGGCGGAUUUUUAAGUCAGCGGUAAAAUGUCCGGCCUCAACCCGGGCCGGCCGUUGAAACUGGGGAGCUGGAGUGGGCGAGAAGUAGGCGGAAUGCGUGGUGUAGCGGUGAAAUGCAUAGAGAUCACGCAGAACUCCGAUUGCGAAGGCAGCAUACCGGCGCCCGACUGACGCUGAGGCACGAAAGCGUGGGGAUCGAACAGGAUUAGAUACCCUGGUAGUC
rnacentral:rRNA from 1 species